AGAGUUUGAUCCUGGCUCAGAUUGAACGCUGGCGGCAGGCCUAACACAUGCAAGUCGAGCGGUAGAGAGAAGCUUGCUUCUCUUGAGAGCGGCGGACGGGUGAGUAAUGCCUAGGAAUCUGCCUGGUAGUGGGGGAUAACGUUCGGAAACGGACGCUAAUACCGCAUACGUCCUACGGGAGAAAGCAGGGGACCUUCGGGCCUUGCGCUAUCAGAUGAGCCUAGGUCGGAUUAGCUAGUUGGUGAGGUAAUGGCUCACCAAGGCGACGAUCCGUAACUGGUCUGAGAGGAUGAUCAGUCACACUGGAACUGAGACACGGUCCAGACUCCUACGGGAGGCAGCAGUGGGGAAUAUUGGACAAUGGGCGAAAGCCUGAUCCAGCCAUGCCGCGUGUGUGAAGAAGGUCUUCGGAUUGUAAAGCACUUUAAGUUGGGAGGAGGGGCAGUAAAUUAAUACUUUGCUGUUUUGACGUUACCGACAGAAUAAGCACCGGCUAACUCUGUGCCAGCAGCCGCGGUAAUACAGAGGGUGCAAGCGUUAAUCGGAAUUACUGGGCGUAAAGCGCGCGUAGGUGGUUUGUUAAGUUGGAUGUGAAAUCCCCGGGCUCAACCUGGGAACUGCAUUCAAAACUGACUGACUAGAGUAUGGUAGAGGGUGGUGGAAUUUCCUGUGUAGCGGUGAAAUGCGUAGAUAUAGGAAGGAACACCAGUGGCGAAGGCGACCACCUGGACUAAUACUGACACUGAGGUGCGAAAGCGUGGGGAGCAAACAGGAUUAGAUACCCUGGUAGUCCACGCCGUAAACGAUGUCAACUAGCCGUUGGAAGCCUUGAGCUUUUAGUGGCGCAGCUAACGCAUUAAGUUGACCGCCUGGGGAGUACGGCCGCAAGGUUAAAACUCAAAUGAAUUGACGGGGGCCCGCACAAGCGGUGGAGCAUGUGGUUUAGUUCGAAGCAACGCGAAGAACCUUACCAGGCCUUGACAUCCAAUGAACUUUCUAGAGAUAGAUUGGUGCCUUCGGGAACAUUGAGACAGGUGCUGCAUGGCUGUCGUCAGCUCGUGUCGUGAGAUGUUGGGUUAAGUCCCGUAACGAGCGCAACCCUUGUCCUUAGUUACCAGCACGUCAUGGUGGGCACUCUAAGGAGACUGCCGGUGACAAACCGGAGGAAGGUGGGGAUGACGUCGAGUCAUCAUGGCCCUUACGGCCUGGGCUACACACGUGCCGCAAUGGUCGGUACAGAGGGUUGCCAAGCCGCGAGGUGGAGCUAAUCCCACAAAACCGAUCGUAGUCCGGAUCGCAGUCUGCAACUCGACUGCGUGAAGUCGGAAUCGCUAGUAAUCGCGAAUCAGAAUGUCGCGGUGAAUACGUUCCCGGGCCUUCACACACCGCCCGUC
rnacentral:rRNA from 1 species